rnacentral:tRNA from 1 species
GCCCCCGUAGCUCAAUGGGUAGAGCAGCGGAUUUAUAUCCCGUAGCGCCAGAUAAGCGGCAAGUGUCGGUUCGAGCCCGACCGGGGGCACCA